GUGCUUGCUUCGGUAGCACAUAUACUAUAAUUAGAAUGAUACAGAGAAGAUUCGCAUGGCCCCUGUGCAAGGAAAAAAAAAACAUGUGCAGAGGAGUAGUCCAGUUGC